GGCGGCAUAGUCCAAUGGCAAGACGCCUGCUUCGGGUGCUGGUAAUCCGGGUUCGAAUCCUGGUGCUGCCC